AAAGGAUCUAGGUGUCGCACGCAUAGCGUUUACUAAACACUGUAACCGGCGCUUGAAUAUUACGUCAGUGACUGGGGUUAUGAAAAACUUUACCUUCGCGCUUAGGAGAUGCUGUCAUUCUAGACACAACCGAGUGGGCGUCUGCUGGUGGGGGUUGACACAGCACCUACAGCGCGUCUGAAUGCUGCCAUAGCUGAGAUCAGAGAACAGUGUGAAGGCCUGCUACCCAAGAACCACUGAAAAACUGAAGCACAGUUCAAAUAUGGGUGCUUUCCUGAUCCAGAUAACUGACCUUUCCCUUCUGCUUUCCCUGUCGAUGAGCCAACAGAGGAGACUGCCAUCCGAAUGCAUGGUCAAAGUGAGCCUCUGUUACACUUAUUUAAUGAUAUCAACCUUAACA